AAAAUAUUAAUGAAAAUUAAGAAUUAUAAUUCUUAAAAUAUGGAAGAAAAACCUAAUCAAAAGUAUUACACUAAUUCUCACUUAAACGGAUUCUAAUCGUUAAAAUAUGAAAGAAAAAUAAAAAAUACUAAUCAUUAACUGUGGAAGGAAUAUAAAUUUCAUUGACCUAAUAAAGUUAUAUAAUAAAUUUUAAAGAAAAUAGUACAAGGAUGAUUUUAUACAUUGUAGAGUCUUUCUACUUUUUUAGAGGUAGAGGUAUGGACUGCGUACAUCUUACCCUCCCCAGACCUCAUUAUGUGGGAAUACACUGGGUUUGUUGAUGUUGUUGUUGUAGAGUCUUUUAAUGAAUGAUAAAAGCUAAAAUAAAUUCAAACAACAUUUAUAAUGCCCUUCAUACUUUAAUAUAACAUAUAGAUAUAAAUAUAGAUAUAUGUCAAAACUUAAAUCAUAAUUUGAUAAAUAGGAAUUUUUUUUGAAAGGGGACCAAAUUACUUAUCUAUCACCUUCAUCAUGCAACCUAUUAUUUUUUUUCAAUAAGAUAAUCCAUCUAACAUCUUUUAAUCAUUAGCUCCGAUAAUAAGUAAUCCAUUUUAUCUUUUCACUAGUCCACAUUGAUUCUGCUACACACAAUCUUGCGAAAAUUCCAACAUAACCAAAUAGGAGUUGCAAAAAUUGCCGCAAAAGCCAAAUAGAACUUCAAUUAUUUCCCAUUAAAUAAUAUAGACAUAAUAGAUAAAUGUGCCCUUUAACAUGGCCCAGUUUGCAUCUAUUCCCUUCUACUUUCGAUGUGGACAAGUAGGAAUUUAAACUAGUACAAAGUUGAACAACCAGACACUUGUGUCCUAUGUGGCAUCCCAUGUAUGACGUGUUGCGGUUUUACAACACGUUCAAUGCUUAAAAUAUGAAAACUAUGCUAGUUCUAAGACAUGUUUAUGUGGAUAUGAUGUAUUUUUGUGGUAUUUGCAAGAAAAAAUAUUUUGAGAGUUCAAAUUCAGAAAACUGUAAGGAUGGAACCUAAUUGUGUUUGAUGACCCUUUCAUUGAGUCAUUGGAUCUAAGAAUGGGUAGUUGUAGUAUGUCAUGGGAAAGAAUCAGAGCAAGUGAAAUUGAAGUAUACAUAACAAUGUCCCACGACCCAUUGUGAGAUACAACAGGCUCAUCUUAAAGGUCGUGAGAUGAGAUCCUGAAAAUACUGAAAUCUAAGUCCAUGAUAAUGAACACUUAGCACGGGUCAUUCUCUGUAAGGAUGGGAUCGUCCGGAGAGUUGUAAAGUAGAGAUAUUGAAAAGCUUAAGANNNNNNNNNNNNNNNCAUCCUAUCCCUUCAUCUAAGCUCCCGAACAAGCAAUCUAGUUCUCUUUAAGAUAGCUUUCAUUUUAUCUAUAAAUAACUUUCCUAGAUUUUAUUUUAUUUUUUAAAGAUUACUACUAUUUAUUGUGAGUUGAGAUUCAACCUCUUAAGGCUUGUUAAACAUAUUAGAUUGGAG
rnacentral:lncRNA from 1 species